GAUCAGUCUGAAACAGUCCUAUUUGAUGUUGAUCUUUCUUCUCCAAGAACAAUCACCCUGCGAAUCUGAAUGAAGUCUAAAUCGUGAUCAACUUUUUGAUCCUUUUUUUGAUCUUUUUCUUCUCUUCUUCUCUUGCUCUUAUUAUCUUGAUUAUGAAGUAACCAAGGUUUGAAAACCAGCAAGCAAAGAGGGAUGCCCAAGCUCCUCUUGGGCAUAGAGAUGGAAGAUGCCCAACCUUUGGGCGUUGGAACUAGAAGGGAGAAG
rnacentral:lncRNA from 1 species